ACGGGUGAGUAACACGUGGGCAACCUGCCCUUGAGACUGGGAUAACUUCGGGAAACCGGAGCUAAUACCGGAUAAUAUAAGGAACCUCCUGGUUCCUUGUUGAAAGAUGGUUUCGGCUAUCACUUAAGGAUGGGCCCGCGGCGCAUUAGCUAGUUGGUGAGGUAACGGCUCACCAAGGCGACGAUGCGUAGCCGACCUGAGAGGGUGAUCGGCCACACUGGGACUGAGACACGGCCCAGACUCCUACGGGAGGCAGCAGUAGGGAAUCUUCCACAAUGGACGAAAGUCUGAUGGAGCAACGCCGCGUGAGUGAUGAAGGCCUUCGGGUCGUAAAGCUCUGUUGUUAGGGAAGAACAAGUGCGAGAGUAACUGCUCGGACCUUGACGGUACCUAACCAGAAAGCCACGGCUAACUACGUGCCAGCAGCCGCGGUAAUACGUAGGUGGCAAGCGUUAUCCGGAAUUAUUGGGCGUAAAGCGCGCGCAGGUGGUUUCUUAAGUCUGAUGUGAAAGCCCACGGCUCAACCGUGGAGGGUCAUUGGAAACUGGGGAACUUGAGUGCAGAAGAGGAAAGUGGAAUUCCA
rnacentral:rRNA from 1 species